rnacentral:rRNA from 1 species
AUACGUAGGGGGCGAGCGUUGUCCGGAAUGAUUGGGCGUAAAGGGUGAGUAGGCGGUUAUAUAUGUCAGGUGUAAAAAGCUAUGGCUUAACCAUAGUAAGCACUUGAAACUGUAUGACUUGAGUGCAGGAGAGGGAAGCGGAAUUCCUAGUGUAGCGGUGAAAUGCGUAGAUAUUAGGAGGAACACCGGUGGCGAAGGCGGGUAACUGGACUGCAACUGACGCUGAGGCGCGAAAGUGUGGGGAGCAAACAGGAUUAGAUACCCUGGUAGUCCACACUGUAAACGAUGAAUGCUAGGUGUAAGAGGUAUCGACCCCUUUUGUGCCGGAGUUAACACAAUAAGCAUUCCGCCUGGGGAGUACGGCCGCAAGGUUGAAACUCAAAUGAAUUGGCGGGG